CAUAUAUCCGACCUGACCCUCUACUGUUCUUCUUCCUCCUAGCGGAAAAUCGCGAACGACAACCUAGCAUCCCGUACCCGGCUCUGCGUCCCUCCCGUCUUGUCCUUUUUCUCUCAUACUCAAAUCGUGUGGUGUCUCGAUCUCAGCAUCUUACUCGUCCUUGCUCUCCAAAUCGACGGCCUCCAUUGUUGAUGAAAUUGGUACUAUUCAAGCUUUCAACCUUAUCUUCAAAGGAUUUUUAAUUUCAAAUUUUAAAUCCUUGUCCUUAUCUAUGCGAUUUCCCCCUCUCUUUUUUUUUUAAUUCUAGUUAUUCCCCUAUUUAUAGAACCCUCGUCUUAUUUGUUUGGUUAGACAAAAAAGUUGGAAAAACUAAUGUUAGAAACAAUGGAAAAGAACCAAACAAAUAAAUGCUAUUAAUUUUUAAGAGUUUCGUUUGGGUUAUUCAAGUCUUUCUUUGAAGCCUUUGAGUGUGUGAGGUGUUGGAAGAAGCUCAACGUCUCCUCUUCUUGUUAUUGUCCAGUUCGCUGCUCGAAAAAAGGUGCAGACACUGGUGGACGCUAGAGUUUGCAAGUUGACGUGCAGUUAUCAGGACGUGACGCUUUCAUCAGAACUUGGUUGGUCCUUAUGCUUUCGAGGAUGUCUACCUUGAUUAUCUAGCUUAGAUAUAGUCCACUAGUGUUCCUUUCAACUUUUAUUACAUACUUUGUAUUGGUGUCGUUUUGGCAAAAAAACUUUUAAUGCAAUUAUGAACUGUUUCUUUCA